rnacentral:rRNA from 1 species
CUAGAUUUUACUCUACUUGGAUAACUGUGGUAAUUCUAGAGCUAAUACAUGCAAUUAAGCUCGGACCAUUGGAAAGAGCGCAUUUAUUAGAUCAAAACCAAUCGAGUUUCGGCUCGUGGUUUGAUGACUCUGAAUAACUAAGCAGAUCGCACAGUCUUGUACUGGCGACGUAUCUUUCAAGUGUCAGCCUUAUCAACUUUCGAUGGUAGGUUAUAUGCCUACCAUGGUUAUAACGGGUAACGGAGAAUUAGGGUUCGACUCCGGAGAGGGAGCCUGAGAAAUGGCUACCACAUCCAAGGAAGGCAGCAGGCGCGCAAAUUACCCAACCCCAGUACGGAGAGGUAGUGACGAGAAAUAACGAGAUAGUCCACUUUGUGGCCUGUCAUCGGAAUGGGUACAAUUUAAAUCCUUUAACGAGGAUCAAUUAGAGGGCAAGUCUGGUGCCAGCAGCCGCGGUAAUUCCAGCUCUAAUAGCGUAUAUUAAAGUUGUUGUGGUUAAAACGCCCGUAGUUGAUUUUUCGACUCUGGCAGUCGGUUGCCCGAAAGGGUCUUAAUUGGCUUGUCGAGUCUGAAUUUGAGUUUUCUGCUGCUGCUCUUAAUUGAGUGACAGUAGUGACUCAACGUUUUACUUUGAAAAAAUUAGAGUGCUUAACGCAAGCUGUACGCUUGAAUAGAGUGCAUGGGAUAAUGGAAAAGGACUUCAGUUCUAUUUUGUUGGUUUUCGGAAUUGAAGUAAUGAUUAAGAGGAACUGACGGGGGCAUUCGUAUUGUUGCGUUAGAGGCGAAAUUCUUGGAUCGCAGCAAGACGAACAACUGCGAAAGCAUUUGCCAAGAAUGUUUUCAUUAAUCAAGGACGAAAGUUAGAGGUUCGAAGGCGAUCAGAUACCGCCCUAGUUCUAACCGUAAACAAUGCCAACUGGCCAUUCGUCGGUGUUAAUUUAUGACCCGACGGGCAGCUUCCGGGAAACCAAAGUUUUUUGGUUCCGGGGGAAGUAUGGUUGCAAAGCUUAAACUUAAAGGGAUUGACGGAAGGGCACCACCAGGAGUGGAGCCUGCGGCUUAAUUUGACCCAACACGGGAAAUCUCACCCGGCCAAGACACAAUGAGGAUUGACAGAUUGAUAGCCCUUUCUCGAUUUUGUGGGUGGUGGUGCAUGGCCGUUCUUAGUUGGUGGAGUGAUUUGUCUGGUUAAUUCCGAUAACGAACGAGACUCUGGCCUAUUAAAUAGGAGCGAUAUUUUUGGUAUCGUGUCCUUCUUAGAGGGACUGGUAGCUUCUAGCUACACGAGAUUGAGCAAUAACAGGUCUGUGAUGCCCUUAGAUGUCCGGGGCUGCACGCGCGCUACAAUGAAGGUAGCACAGUGCAAAUUACCUUGUCCGAAAGGACUUGGCAAUCACGAAUUACUUUCGUGCUUGGGAUAGGGAAUUGCAAUUAUUUCCCUUGAACGAGGAAUUUCUAGUAAGUGUGAGUCAUAAGCUCAUGUUGAUUACGUCCCUGCCCUUUGUACACACCGCCCGUCGCUACUACUGACUGGAAGAUUCAGUGAAACUAUUGGACCGGGUCGAGAUUGGCUUCGCGGCCGA